UUUUGUUAUUUUCGCAAUUUAUUUUCAAAUAUGUAAUACGCGAACUUGGUACAACAUUCAUGUGAUAAAAAGGUAGAUACGUGGGCAGGACGCGGUGGCUCACGCCUGUAAUCCCAGCAUUUUGGGAGGCCGAGAUGGGCGGAUCAUUUGCUGUCAGGAGUUCGAGACCAGCCUGGCCAACAUGAGUCUACAAAUAAACAUUUUAUAAAGAUGAUCCUUCAAUACAUAUUCUACAGCCCAGUUAAAAUGUGAGAGGCCAUGAUCUACAGACAGCCAUUUAUAAAGGUGGAUCAGGGCCGGACACGGUGGCUCAACGUCUGUAAUCCCGGCACUGUGGGAGGCCAAAGCGGGAGGAUCGCUUGAGCCCAGGAGUUCGAGACCAACCUGGCCAACAUGGUGAGACCCCAUCUUUACAAAAAAAUAUAUAUAUCCAGGCAUAGUGGUGUGCACCUGUGGUCCUGUGGUCCCAGCUACUCAGGAAGCUGAGGCAGUUGAGGCUGCAGUGAGCCACGUUCUGGCCACUACACUCCAGCCUGGGCAUCAAAGUGACAAGACCAAAAAAAAAAAAAA
rnacentral:lncRNA from 10 species